CCUACGGGGGGCAGCAGUGGGGAAUUUUGGACAAUGGGCGCAAGCCUGAUCCAGCCAUUCCGCGUGAGUGAAGAAGGCCUUCGGGUUGUAAAGCUCUUUCGCAAGGGAAGAAAACUUAUCCUCUAACAUAGGAUGAGGUUGACGGUACCUUGAUAAGAAGCACCGGCUAACUACGUGCCAGCAGCCGCGGUAAUCCGUAGGGUGCGAUCGGUAAUCGGAAUUACUAGGCGGAUUGCGUAGGCAGAUGGGAAAUCCCCGAGCUCAACUUGGGAACUGCGUUUGAAACUACAAGACUAGAAUAGGUCAGAGGGGGGUAGAAUUCCACGUGUAGCAGUGAAAUGCGUAGAGAUGUGGAGGAAUAUCAAUGGCGAAGGCAGCCCCCUGGGAUCAUAUUGACGCUCAUGCACGAAAGCGUGGGGAGCAAACAGGAUUAGAUACCCUGGUAGUC
rnacentral:rRNA from 1 species